rnacentral:lncRNA from 1 species
AUUCUCUACCUUAGUAUUGUGGAUAAAGUGUGUGGCAAAAUGCACUCCACAUCUGAACAAGAUUUUUGUAGAAAGAUCCAACCCAGAGAUACUGUAACAGCAUUUUCUGCCCUGUCACUUCUGGGGUAGAGUUAGUUUGCCCAUCCUUCCUGGUUAGAUCUGUGCGGAUAGGGAUGGGGACACUGGGUGCCCAGACCAGGAAGUGUCUGUUCUCUCAGUAUCCUAUUAAAAAAGGAAGAAGACAGUGCCUUCAUGUUGUCUCGUCCAGAUUCCUUCUCAGCCCAGGAAUGUUCUUGAGUACAUCCAGGAAGCUACUAGGAGGGGGACCGGUCGGAUGAGACAGAAAUUCAUCAUGUUCAUGGAAGCAUGCCACGUGUCUUCACGGAGCAGAUCUGGUCUCCUGACAAACACAAUGGGCUGUAGAUACCAAGUUCCCACCAGGACCCAAACUCAGUCGUCACACCAUCACACAGAAGAUAAGGCUUCUACACGAGGGCUCAAUUUCACUUAACCUCUCUGGUGCUAGGAAACCUGUGUUUUGAAAAACUUUACCACUGUUUUCUUUUAGACAGAACUUCUUUUGGUUAAUUUUUGUCACAUGCAGAAUUUGACUCAGGCAGUCUACACCUAACUCAGUUCAGUUUUCUUUGGAACUGAGCUGGGCCACACUGUGUUAUAAUACUUUGAUCUGGCUGGAGACAACGCAGAUUUGCCAGGCGGAAGGCGAGCUGUUAUUGAUUUCAAGCUCUGGAGUGCCCAGCCUCGCUGAAAACUGUUGCUAUCGGCAGCUUUGAGCUCUGGCGCUCUGCUGCCUGGAAUGUGCUGAAGGAGAAGGAGGGGAAAGGGGUCUGGGUAUGGUAAGCAGAGGGA